AUACGGAGGGUGCGAGCGUUAAUCGGAAUUACUGGGCGUAACGCGUGCGUAGGCGGUUUGCUAAGUCAGAUGUGAAAGCCCCGGGCUUAACCUGGGAACUGCAUUUGAUACUGGCAGACUAGAGUAUGAUAGAGGGGGGUAGAAUUCCUGGUGUAGCGGUGAAAUGCGUAGAUAUCAGGAGGAAUACCAGUGGCGAAGGCGGCCCCCUGGAUCAAUACUGACGCUGAGGUACGAAAGCGUGGGGAGCGAACAGGAGUAGAAACCCCGGUAGUCC
rnacentral:rRNA from 1 species